GUUCCGUAGGUGAACCUGCGGAAGGAUCAUUAAAGUUAUAGUCCCCCGGCCCCUCCGGGCUGGGGUCUUCUAUACCACCCUUUGUUUAUUACACCUUUGUUGCUUUGGUAGGCCUGCCCUCGGGCUGCUGGCUCCGGCCGGCUCGUGCCUGCCAGAGGACCUAAACUCUGUUUGUAUAUGAAGUCUGAGUACUAUAUAAUAGUUAAAACUUUCAACAACGGAUCUCUUGGUUCUG
rnacentral:misc_RNA from 1 species